rnacentral:rRNA from 1 species
AAUGGGCGCAAGCCUGAUCCAGCCAUGCCGCGUGAGUGAUGUAGGCCCUAGGGUCGUAAAGCUCUUUCGCCAGGGAUGAUAAUGACAGUACCUGGUAAAGAAACCCCGGCUAACUCCGUGCCAGCAGCCGCGGUAAUACGGAGGGGGUUAGCGUUGUUCGGAAUUACUGGGCGUAAAGCGCGCGUAGGCGGACUAGUCAGUCAGAGGUGAAAUCCCAGGGCUCAACCCUGGAACUGCCUUUGAUACUGCUAGUCUUGAGUUCGAGAGAGGUGAGUGGAAUUCCGAGUGUAGAGGUGAAAUUCGUAGAUAUUCGGAGGAACACCAGUGGCGAAGGCGGCUCACUGGCUCGAUACUGACGCUGAGGUGCGAAAGUGCGGGGAGCAAACAGGAUU